rnacentral:lncRNA from 1 species
UUCGUGGAUCUUUCUGGUAUUUUACCACAGCAGCUACAUGUUUAGGAAGAAUAACGCAACUCAUUCCAAACUUAUAUAAUCAUAAAUAAAUGUUUACUGAUGACCCAUUAAACCUAUUUCAAAAUAUUGCUGUUUCAACAUUGUUCUCGCUUGCUUCAAUAUCACAAAAUACUAAAAUAAGAUAAACAAAUUUUUUUCUUUGUAAAUAAGGUUGAAUUACCUGAAUGUUUGCUAGUGUCCGAGUUUUCUAUGUAUGGUGUUGGCGGGAAGAGAAGGAUGACCAAUUCCAAUUGCAAGUAACUCGGAGCGAACUAGGGUUUUGAAGGGUGAAGCUGCAGGGAAGAGUUUAGGCUACUCUGCACUGAGCUGUAGUUCCUUGAAAGAUAUAGGGCUGUUUGUUU